rnacentral:rRNA from 1 species
UAGGGAAUCUUCGGCAAUGGGGGCAACCCUGACCGAGCAACGCCGCGUGAGUGAAGAAGGUUUUCGGAUCGUAAAGCUCUGUUGCAAGAGAAGAACGUGUGUGAGAGUGGAAAGUUCACACAGUGACGGUAACUUACCAGAAAGGGACGGCUAACUACGUGCCAG